GUUAUUGGUCGGUGUCGAAGACCCGCUUACGUUUCAGGGAACCGCACGCAACAGCGGUACUAUGCAUAUCCGGCACCGAUACCGGAACCCGAAGGUCUACCGUACCGCCCUUGUCCGGGGACGCAGCGCACCGUCGUUGACGUCGCUGAGCUGCCGCAACAACGACUGCCGGUACUGCUUGUUGUAGAGCGACUUACGCGGGCGCUGCCAGUGCUGUUGGUGCUGGUGCUGGUGCCACGGCUCGGCAGCGUAGUUCCAACGAUGAAGUUGGUACGCAGUGUACCCUGGGUUCGGUUUCACUCGCAGAUGCCUUGUGCUGGCUGACUUCGAAAGCUCUCCAGUGCGUUCUGCAAAAAGCCGAAUCGACCUGCGUGGUGUCGGCAGCUUACCGUCUGGGGUCUUGCUCGCUUCCGCUCCUGAGAGCACCGCGCUCCCUCUAUGGACGCGCUUUCCAGAGACGUCGAGCGCUCACUCAAACCUCUCUGAGUAGCGUAGAACGGUUCGGGAAAAUGUCGCCUGCACCGGACACGCAUCGAACUGCCGCUGUUCGCUUGAAGCGACCUAUUUGCACUAGGGCCUCACUUCGCUUUACACCUCAGGGAUGCUCGGGUUGAGGCUCAGGAACGCAACGGUGAACACUCGCCUACGCUUCGCCUUGUUCUAUGCCUCGACAGUGAUGAUUCGCAGGAGGUUCGUUGAUCCAGAGACGCCCUCUCGCAUUCCCGAAAUAAGUAUCACCAAGUCACCGGUGGCAACGAUGCCACUGGCGCGUGCAGUCUGCAGACCCCGAGCGAUGAGACUCUCUGUACCGAUCAUACUCCCAACGACGACGGGAAAACAAUCUCGAGAGAGCAGACAUUGCCGCGCGGUGAGCUCGUUUGAGGUGAGCACCAGACACGGGCAACUGGGACGAUACUUGCACACGAGCCGCGCAGUUCUACCAGUCUCACUGAGGCAGAGAAUCAUGGUUGCCUUGAGGUCAUACGCUGCUUUCACUGCGGAAGAUGCGAUCGCUUCGGUGACCGACAGCUCAUGACUGCGGGCAAAGUUGCGGAUCGCCUGGAAGACGGCAGCGUGGUCGAGGGCACGCUCCGCCUCCAUACAGAUAUUCACCAUCGUUUGGACUGCCUGCACCGGAUAGAGACCUUUGGCUGUCUCGCCGCUCAGCAUGACGCAAUCGGUGCCGUCGAAAACUGCAUUCGCAACAUCGCUAACUUCUGCUCUGGUUGGCCGCGGGUUCUUGAUCAUGGAAUCCAGCAUUUGAGUCGCGGUGAUGACUGGUUUGCCCGCCACGUUGCAUUUACUGAUCAUAUGCUUCUGCGCGCUUGCAACGAGCUCAAGGCGUACCUCUACACCGAGAUCACCCCUAGCGACCAUGAUUCCAUCGCUGGCUUCCAGGAUAUCGUCAAAGUUUUCUAACCCUUCCUGGUUUUCGAUUUUGCUGAUGAUCUGAAUUGCGGAACCGCCAUGUUCUUUGAGGAACGAGCGAAUCUGCUCAACGUCAAUGCGCUUGCGAAUGAACGAGGCGGCCACAAAGUCCACACCCUGCGCGAUGCCAAAGAGAAUGUCCUGCAUAUCCUGCUCCGUCAGUGCAGGUAGGUUAUAGGUUGCUCCAGGCAGGUUGAUUCCCUUGCGCUCACCGAGAACGCCGUCAUUCAUGACUCGGCAGUGAACCUGAUCCGCACACACCUCUUCCACGGUCAGAGCGAUCAGACCGUCAUCAAUGAGAACUUGCGCGCCAGGAGAGAGAAUGCUGCUCAGAUCUCGGCAACUCUGGAAGACUCCUUUUGCGUUGCCGCGUUGCCGUUGAGGAUCAGACAGAUUACUAUACAGCGUAAAGGUUUGCCCUGCUUUCAAGGCAACUUCACCG
rnacentral:misc_RNA from 1 species